UGGGGAAUAUUGGACAAUGGGCGAAAGCCUGAUCCAGCCAUGCCGCGUGUGUGAAGAAGGCCUUUUGGUUGUAAAGCACUUUAAGUGGGGAGGAAAAGCUUAUGGUUAAUACCCAUAAGCCCUGGCGUUACCCACAGAAUAAGCACCGGCUAACUCUGUGCCAGCAGCCGCGGUAAUACAGAGGGUGCAAGCGUUAAUCGGAAUUACUGGGCGUAAAGCGCGCGUAGGUGGUUAUUUAAGUCAGAUGUGAAAGCCCCGGGCUUAACCUGGGAACUGCAUCUGAUACUGGAUAACUAGAGUAGGUGAGAGGGGAGUAGAAUUCCAGGUGUAGCGGUGAAAUGCGUAGAGAUCUGGAGGAAUACCGAUGGCGAAGGCAGCUCCCUGGCAUCAUACUGACACUGAGGUGCGAAAGCGUGGGUAGCAAACAGGAUUAGAUACCCUGGUAGUCCACGCCGUAAACGAUGUCUACCAGUCGUUGGGUCUUUUAAAGACUUAGUGACGCAGUUAACGCAAUAAGUAGACCGCCUGGGGAGUACGGCCGCAAGGUUA
rnacentral:rRNA from 1 species